CCCUUAGAUGUUCUGGGCUGCACGCGCGCUACACUGAUGCACUCAACGAGUUUACGACCUUGCCCGAUAGGGUUGGGUAAUCUUUUUAAAAUGCAUCGUGAUGGGGAUAGAUUAUUGCAAUUAUUAAUCUUCAACGAGGAAUUCCUAGUAAGCGCGAGUCAUCAGCUCGUGCUGAUUACAUCCCUGCCCUUUGUACACACCGCCCGUCGCUCCUACCGAUUGAGUGCUCAGGUGAAUAAUUCGGACUGCAGCAAUGUUUGGAUCCCGAACGUUGCAGCGGAAAGUUUAGUGAACCUUAUCACUUAGAGGAAGGAGGAGUCGUAACA
rnacentral:rRNA from 1 species